rnacentral:sRNA from 20 species
ACCUGUUGCGGGCGGAAGAGCGUUUGGGUGCCCGCAACUUCAGAAAUCACACUGUGUCACGGGAACAACGUGGCAUUUCUGGGCGUU